rnacentral:rRNA from 1 species
UACGAAGGGGGCUAGCGUUGCUCGGAAUCACUGGGCGUAAAGGGUGCGUAGGCGGGUCUUUAAGUCAGGGGUGAAAUCCUGGAGCUCAACUCCAGAACUGCCUUUGAUACUGAAGAUCUUGAGUUCGGGAGAGGUGAGUGGAACUGCGAGUGUAGAGGUGAAAUGCGUAGAUAUUGGGAGGAACACCAGUGGCGAAGGCGGCUAUCUGGACGGUUUCUGACACUAAGACUCGAAAGCGUGGGGAGCAAACAGG